CCUUAUCGAUGGCUUGAAGAUCCUGACGCUGAGGAAGUGAAAGAGUUCGUGCAGGAGCAGGUGAAAUUGACGGAAGGUGUGUUGAAGUCAUGCGAUGCAAGAGAAAAGCUUCGCAACAAAAUCACGAAGCUGUUUGAUCACCCGCGAUACGAUGCACCUUUCAAACGAGGGGAUAAGUAUUUCUACUUCCAUAAUACUGGGCUUCAAGCCCAAAACGUUCUCUACGUGCAGGAUAGUUUGGAUGGAGAGCCAGGGGUUUUACUUGAUCCCAAUGCUCUUAGCGAGGAUGGAACAGUCUCAUUGAACGCGCUUUCGGUGAGUGAGGACGCAAAGUACUUGGCUUACGGACUUAGCUCCAGUGGGAGUGAUUGGGUCACAGUCAAGGUUAUGCAUGUUGAGGAUAAGAGAGUCGAGGCUGACACGUUAUCUUGGGUUAAGUUUUCAGGCAUUAGUUGGACCCAUGACAGCAAAGGGUUUUUCUAUAGCCGUUACCCAGCUCCCAAAGAAGGAGAAAACUUAGAUGCUGG
rnacentral:misc_RNA from 1 species